GAGUUUGAUCAUGGCUCAGGACGAACGCUGGCGGCGUGCUUAACACAUGCAAGUCGAACGGUGACCUCGGAGCUUGCUCCGGGUGAUCAGUGGCGAACGGGUGAGUAACACGUGAGCAACCUGCCCCCGACUCUGGGAUAACCCCGGGAAAUCGGAGCUAAUACCGGAUACGAGACGCACAGGCAUCUGUUGCGUCUGGAAAGAAUUUCGGUCGGGGAUGGGCUCGCGGCCUAUCAGCUAGUUGGUGGGGUAGUGGCCUACCAAGGCGACGACGGGUAGCCGGCUUGAGAGGGCGACCGGCCACACUGGGACUGAGACACGGCCCAGACUCCUACGGGAGGCAGCAGUGGGGAAUAUUGCACAAUGGGCGCAAGCCUGAUGCAGCGACGCCGCGUGAGGGAUGACGGCCUCGGUUGUAAC
rnacentral:rRNA from 1 species